rnacentral:rRNA from 1 species
AUACGAAAGGUGCAAGCGUUGUUCGGAUUUACUGGGCGGAAAGAGAGUGUAGGUGGUUUAUUAAGUCGGAUGUGAAAUCCCGGGGCUCAACCUCGGAACUGCAUUCGAUACUGAUAGGCUAGAGUUUGGGAGGGGUAAGCGGAAUUCCGUGUGUAGCAGUGAAAUGCGUAGAUAUACGGAGGAACACCUGAUGCGAAGGCGGCUUACUGGACCAAUACUGACACUGAGACUCGAAAGCGUGGGUAGCAAACAGGAUUAGAAACCCGAGUAGUCC